CAAAAACUUAAGAAAAACAACAAAAAAUCCUGGAGCCGGGCCUUUGCAAUAGACAAGGGGUGUAGGUCCAACAUGAGAAGUGUGGAUAGGAAUUGAUCCGCUUGGGCCUUAACCUAAAACCGGGAUUCGAGCUUCAGAUAGGAAAGAAUGGAUCUCCGAUCUUCUUAUCCACCUGCGUACUAGCCUGGGUCGAAAAUGAGCUGGAGUUUCUCCGAAGGAAUUCAUCGCAUUGUGCGGCCAAGAAGACUCCGACGAAGCUCGCACAAGUCCGUUGCAUGUUCAGAUCCGUAUAACGCUCCUUGUCUCCUUUAGAUUCCAUGUCUUACCUCACGAAUUCAUGUACUCUCCAAUGAAGAAUCAAGAACAACAAUCGGAUUCGUCGGAUACUCUCAACAUUGAAUCGACAUCGAGACCGAGACUGAAUUAACUUCCUUUCUUUUUCUUGUGCGCGAAUUGAAAGAAAUUGAAGAGAGAGUGGUUACCUACCGGAAUCGAUUUGUUGACGGUGCGGUUGGUUGUUCGUUCUGUGAGUUCCUGCAGCAUCGGCUAAACCGAGAGCGAAGAGGGAGAGCGUACUCGUGGCGCAAUGGAGCUUCGAAGAUGGAAAGCAGAAUCGAAGCUGUGGAUUCACCGGUUCAGAUGAUUGAAGAGUGAUAUUGGAUUGAAGGUGAUGAAAUGGAUUGAAGGUUGGUGUGGUGAAGGUUUUGUGAAUGGAGGUUGAAGUGGCGGUUACCGGUUUUUGUGAGUUUGUUACGUUUGUUGAAGGAAUUGAAGAGAGGAAGAAGAAGCCGGAAGCCGAGAAGUGAAGAUUGAAGAAGAAACCUGAUUGAUGCAACUUGGAGCUUAGAAGUAGCUUGGCUUGUAUUGUAGCAGCUUACGCUUGGCUCAUUUGGAAGUUUGGUAUGCGUUUCAACUUGGCGUUGAUUGUGCGUUUGGAGCUGGCUUAUGCGUUUUCCGGUUUGGCUUAUGGCGUGUGGCUCGUAGCUUGUGGGAGCUUGGAAGUAGCUUUUGUUUCACAUUAUUUUUCCUGCACUGCCGUCAUUUUCUGCUACUGUCCUGCGCUUUGAAGCUUCAUUUCCUUUUGAUUAUUUGGUGACUUGGCUUGUCAUUUUAUUAUGGAUUAUGUAAUGGGACUUAGUAAGUCGUAAGCUAAAAACAUGUACUUUGUUAAUAUGGCUAUUGAAAUGGCAAUGCAUUGGAUUUGGUUAA